GAUGAACGCUAGCUACAGGCUUAACACAUGCAAGUCGAGGGGCAGCAUGGUCGUUGCUUGCAAUGACCGAUGGCGACCGGCGCACGGGUGAGUAACGCGUAUCCAACCUUCCCCCUACCCGGGUAUAGCCCGCCGAAAGGCGGAUUAAUCCCCGAUACGUCCCCUGACGGCAUCAGGCGGGGACGAAAGGUAUUCCGGUAAGGGAUGGGGAUGCGUCCGAUUAGCUUGUUGGCGGGGUAACGGCCCACCAAGGCAACGAUCGGUAGGGGUUCUGAGAGGAAGGUCCCCCACAUUGGAACUGAGACACGGUCCAAACUCCUACGGGAGGCAGCAGUGAGGAAUAUUGGUCAAUGGGCGGAAGCCUGAACCAGCCAAGUAGCGUGCAGGAUGACGGCCCUACGGGUUGUAAACUGCUUUUUUGCGGGAAUAAAGUGGCUCACGCGUGGGCCUUUGCAUGUACCGCACGAAUAAGGACCGGCUAAUUCCGUG
rnacentral:rRNA from 1 species